ensembl:lncRNA
CGAACUCAGGUCUCCCUCAUUGCAGCAUACCUGCAACAGUGCAAAAAGAAAUAAACAGGAUUAAUGUGUGUUACCGGAACAUAUGGAUGUCUCAUGUGCCUUUUCUCUCCCCGUUUGCAAGUGAGGGGUCCUUUUUCUCUCUGAACAUCGGAUAUUGUCAACAUGAGCCGUAGUCCGGAGGGUGAGCUGUUAAGCUGGGAUAACAAGGAGCUCUCAGAGCAUUUGGAGCCUUGGCACCUACAUGGCAAUUUUGAAGCUUUUCUUUUUAAAACGGGGUUUCAAGACAAUCUCCCGCCAUCUCCACUUACUCCUGAGUAAGAGGAUUCUAAUGAAGCCGCCGUGGGUGAUGAGGCUCAGCCCCGCGGUCCUCUCCUGCAGGGACUGUUUCUGCUGCCUGGUUGUUAGCGGGGCAACUGCCGUCUUUAUCUUUGGGAUCUGCAGGGAAAGAUGCUCAGAGAGGGAGGCUAACAAGGAAAGUGUGAGUCCUACUAAGCAGACCGGAAAGCUUGGUCGUUUGAAAACAAUCCCCUUUCCUUGCCUUGGUUUUGGCAAUGAUAGGCUUAUCAAGGAGACUCGGGGAGGAGGAGGAGGAGAGAGGUAUGUAUCUUUUAGGGAAGAUGGUGGAAAGCAGAGAAAUGAGGGAAGCCUGAUUCUUGGCAGCAGGACAACAAGGUUGGCAAAGUUGUCUGCCCCUGACUGAAAAAGAACCACUUUCAAUGGACUGUGUGGGUUUGGACUCUGAGGCUGUUGGUGGUGACCAAGAAGAACAGAAGGCUGUCUUUUUUUAUUAAAGAUUUUUUAUGUGGAC